UCCGGUUGAUCCUGUCGGACCCGACUGCUAUCAGAGUGGGACUAAGCCAUGCGAGUCAACGCAGCAAUGCGUGGCAUACGGCUCAGUAACACGUAGUCAACAUGCCCAGGGGACGUGGAUAACCUCGGGAAACUGAGGAUAAACCGCGAUAGGCCAAGGUUUCUGGAAUGGAUCAUGGCUGAAACCUAUAUGGCCCCUGGAUUGGACUGCGGCCGAUCAGGCUGUUGGUGAGGUAAUGGCCCACCAAACCUGUAACCGGUACGGGCUCUGAGAGGAGGAGCCCGGAGAUGGGCACUGAGACAAGGGCCCAGGCCCUAUGGGGCGCAGCAGGCGCGAAACCUCUGCAAUAGGCGAAAGCUUGACAGGGUUACUCUGAGUGAUGUCCGCUAAGGGCAUCUUUUGGCACUUCUAAAAAUAGUGUAGAAUAAGGGGUGGGCAAGUCUGGUGUCAGCCGCCGCGGUAAUACCAGCACCCCGAGUGGUCGGGACGAUUAUUGGGCCUAAAGCAUCCGUAGCCGGUUCUGCAAGUCUUCCGUUAAAUCCACCUGCUCAACAGAUGGGCUGCGGAGGAUACUACAGGGCUAGUAGGCGGGAGAGGCAAGCGGUACUCAGUGGGUAGGGGUAAAAUCCUCUGAUCCACUGAAGACCACCAGUGGCGAAGGCGGCUUGCCAGAACGCGCUCGACGGUGAGGGAUGAAAGCUGGGGGAGCAAACCGGAUUAGAUACCCGGGUAGUCCCAGCUGUAAACGAUGCAGACUCGGUGAUGGGUUGGCUUCGAGCCAACCCAGUGCCGCAGGGAAGCCGUUAAGUCUGCCGCCUGGGGAGUACGGUCGCAAGACUGAAACUUAAAGGAAUUGGCGGGGGAGCACCACAAGGGGUGAAGCCUGCGGUUCAAUUGGAGUCAACGCCGGAAAUCUUACCGGGAGCGACAGCAGAGUGAAGGUCAAGCUGAAGACUUUACCAGACAAGCUGAGAGGUGGUGCAUGGCC
rnacentral:rRNA from 1 species